GUGGAUGAAUAUGCAGAGCAUGAAGGACUGUCAGGGCAGUAAAAUUAUUCCAUAUAUUAUGAUGAUGGAUACGUAUCAUUACACAUGCACCAAAUCCAUACAAUGGAAGAUGCACACAUCUGAACUC